CCCUUAGAUGUCCUGGGCUGCACGCGCGCUACACUGAUGUGUCCAGUAAGCACCGAACCUCUUCCGAAAGGAACGGGUAACCUUUGCAAAGCACAUCGUGAUGGGGAUAGAUUAUUGCAAUUAUUAGUCUUGAACGAGGAAUUCCUAGUAAGCACAAGUCAUCAGCUUGUGUUGAUUACGUCCCUGCCCUUUGUACACACCGCCCGUCGCUCCUACCGAUUGAAUGUUCCGGUGAGCUCUUCGGACUGCGCGGUCGGCAGUUUCUGCGUUCCGUGCGGAAAGUUGCGCAAACCUUAACAUUUAGAGGAAGGAGAAGUCGUAACA
rnacentral:rRNA from 1 species